rnacentral:rRNA from 1 species
CACGCCGUAAACGAUGAAUACUAGGUGUAGGAGGUAUCGACCCCUUCUGUGCCGUCGCAAACGCAAUAAGUAUUCCACCUGGGGAGUACGGCCGCAAGGCUGAAACUCAAAGGAAUUGACGGGGGCCCGCACAAGCAGUGGAGUAUGUGGUUUAAUUCGAAGCAACGCGAAGAACCUUACCAGGGCUUGACAUCCUCUGACAGCUUAAGAGAUUAAGCGUUCUCUUCGGAGACAGAGAGACAGGUGG